UACGAAGGGGGCUAGCGUUGCUCGGAAUCACUGGGCGUAAAGCGCACGUAGGCGGGUUGUUAAGUCGGGGGUGAAAUCCUGGAGCUCAACUCCAGAACUGCCUUCGAUACUGGCGACCUUGAGUCCGGGAGAGGUGAGUGGAACUCCGAGUGUAGAGGUGAAAUUCGUAGAUAUUCGGAAGAACACCAGUGGCGAAGGCGGCUCACUGGCCCGGUACUGACGCUGAGGUGCGAAAGCGUGGGGAGCGAACGGG
rnacentral:rRNA from 1 species